rnacentral:rRNA from 1 species
UAGGGAAUUUUCGGGCAAUGGGACGAAAGUCUGACCGAGCAAUGCCGCGUGAACGAAGAAGUAUUUCGGUAUGUAAAGUUCUUUUAUUAGGGACGAAAAUAAAUUGACGGUACCUAAUGAAUAAGCUCCGGCUAACUACGUGCCAGCAGCCGCGGUAAUACGUAGGGAGCGAGCGUUAUCCGGAAUUAUUGGGCGUAAAGGGUGCGUAGACGGCAUAACAAGUCAGUUGUAAAAAUGCUGAGCUCAACUCAGUAGAGCAACUGAUACUGAUAAGCUAGAGUAUGGCAGAGGCAAGUGGAACUCCAUGUGUAGCGGUAAAAUGCGUAAAUAUAUGGAAGAACACCAGUGGCGAAGGCGGCUUGCUGGGGCCAAUACUGACGU